rnacentral:rRNA from 1 species
GUGUCAGCAGCCGCGGUAACACGGGGGGAGCAAGCGUUGUUCGGAAUCACUGGGCGUAAAGGGUGUCUAGGCGGUCAAGUGAGUGAGAUGUGAAAUGCCCCGGCUCACCCGGGGACCGGCAUCUCAUACUGCUUGGCUCGAGUGCGGGAGAGGAUGAGGGAAUUCCUGGUGUAGCGGUGAAAUGCGUAGAUAUCAGGAGGAACACCGGUGGCGAAAGCGCUCAUCUGGCCCGACACUGACGCUGAAGCACGAAAGCUAGGGGAGCAAACGGGAUUAGAUACCCUCGUAGUCC